GUGCUCCUCAGAAGGUACACAUGCUAAAAUUGGAACAACAUAGAGAUUAGCCCGGCCCCUGCACAAGGAUGACACUCAAAUUUGUAAAGUGUUUCAUAUUUUC
ensembl:snRNA U6 U6 spliceosomal RNA